GGAGAUCGUUCUACACAUUUUAAGAAUUUUGGGGCGGUGUGAAUAACCAAAAGGUGAGGGACCACAAUUGCAAUAAGAAACAAAGUUUUGCCUUUGUUUUCUCGAGUUUUUGGAUCGACAGUGACCGGCAGACAGUGACCGCCGUGUGAAGUCGAGAGGUGAUCGUGGAGUGAUGGUGACGACGGCCGAGAAUCUCCCACCGCCGAACCUACACGUGAAGAACUAAAUCCACCAUCUAUGGUUUAUGUCGUUUCCAUGGCUUCGUUGUUUUGGGCGGCGGUGAAAUCCUCUUUGUUAAACACUGUUUAGGUCGCUCUUGCUCUUCACCACCAACGAAGGCGGCAUUGUGAUUAACAAGUAAAACAUCGUUACAAUCCAUCCAAUGCUAUCUUCGCAAAAUCACAAACACAACAACGAAAACUAAAGUUGAAUUGUAGCUUUGACUGAUUCAUGACACAAGUAAAAUCCAAAAAAAAAAAAGAAGUAGAAAUGGAUUUAAGAGGAUUGUUACCAGACAUACUUUUGAGAUUCACAUAAAGUAAACUGAAAUUUUUUUUUGGUUUAUAUCAAUUUAUGACAAAAAGAAAAAGAAAUAAGAUAAAGAAAAAGAGGAUGGAUAACGAAGAGAAAAUGAGACAUGAUUUGGUUUAGUUUAGUUCAAGGAUGUUUUAGAGAAUUUAUGAGCAAAAAAUGUGUAUCUAAGGUAACAAAUGUCUAUAGAUAUAAUUGUAAACUUAAAAAAAUGCAUCUAUGUGUAAUUGUUUCAAUAAUUAAUUAUAUAUUUUUAAAUAUUGGUGAUUUACAAUAGUAAAAAUCAAUUGGUGGGUGAUAUUCGGAUAAGUGACUAAGUGAGUCAUGGGGCACAUAUGCUAUGUCUCACAAGUAAUCGUUGAUAAUAACAAUGAACUAAUGGUUUGUUCACACAGGGGUAGU
rnacentral:lncRNA from 1 species